AGAGUUUGAUCCUGGCUCAGGACGAACGCUGGCGGCGUGCCUAACACAUGCAAGUCGAGCGGAGACAGUGAGUAGCUUGCUAUGAGCUGUUUUAGCGGCGGACGGGUGAGUAACGCGUGAGCAACCUUUCCCAGACAGGGGAAUAACACACCGAAAGGUGUACUAAUACCGCAUAAGACCACGGGAUCACAUGGUUCUGGGGUAAAAGAAUUAUCGGUUUGGGGUGGGCUCGCGUCCGAUUAGGUAGUUGGUGAGGUAACGGCCCACCAAGCCGACGAUCGGUAGCCGACCUGAGAGGGUGAUCGGCCACAUUGGGACUGAGACACGGCCCAAACUCCUACGGGAGGCAGCAGUGGGGAAUAUUGGGCAAUGGAGGGAACUCUGACCCAGCAACGCCGCGUGGAGGAAGAAGGUUUUCGGAUCGUAAACUCCUGUCCUUGGAGACGAGUAGAAGACGGUAUCCAAGGAGGAAGCCCCGGCUAACUACGUGCCAGCAGCCGCGGUAAUACGUAGGGGGCAAGCGUUGUCCGGAAUAAUUGGGCGUAAAGGGCGCGUAGGCGGCUCGGUAAGUCUGGAGUGAAAGUCCUGCUUUUAAGGUGGGAAUUGCUUUGGAUACUGUCGGGCUUGAGUGCAGGAGAGGUUAGUGGAAUUCCCAGUGUAGCGGUGAAAUGCGUAGAGAUUGGGAGGAACACCAGUGGCGAAGGCGACUAACUGGACUGUAACUGACGCUGAGGCGCGAAAGUGUGGGGAGCAAACAGGAUUAGAUACCCUGGUAGUCCACACUGUAAACGAUGAAUGCUAGGUGUAGGGGGUAUCGACCCCUUCUGUGCCGCAGUCAACACAAUAAGCAUUCCGCCUGGGGAGUACGGCCGCAAGGUUGAAACUCAAAGGAAUUGACGGGGGCCCGCACAAGCAGUGGAGUAU
rnacentral:rRNA from 1 species